ACUUUCAACAAUGGAUCUCUUGGUUCCGGCAUCGAUGAAGAACGCAGCGAAAUGCGAUAACUAGUGUGAAUUGCAGAAUUCCGUGAAUCAUCGAGUCUUUGAACGCACAUUGCGCCCCCUGGUAUUCCGGGGGCAUGCCUGUCCGAGCGUCAUUGCUGCCCAUCAAGCACGGCUUGUGUGUUGGGUCGUCGUCCCCUCUCCGGGGGGACGGGCCCCAAAGGCAGCGGCGGCACCGCGUCCGAUCCUCGAGCGUAUGGGGCUUUGUCACCCGCUCUGUAGGCCCGGCCGGCGCUUGCCGAACGCAAAUCAAUCUUUUUCCAGGUUGACCUCGGAUCAGGUAGGGAUACCCGCUGAACUUAAGCAUAUCAAUAAGCGGAGGAAAAGAAACCAACCGGGAUUGCCUCAGUAACGGCGAGUGAAGCGGCAAGAGCUCAAAUUUGAAAGCUGGCUCCUUCGGGGUCCGCAUUGUAAUUUGCAGAGGAUGCUUCGGGUGCGGCCCCUGUCUAAGUGCCCUGGAACGGGCCGUCAGAGAGGGUGAGAAUCCCGUCUGGGAUGGGGUGUCCGCGCCCGUGUGAAGCUCCUUCGACGAGUCGAGUUGUUUGGGAAUGCAGCUCUAAAUGGGUGGUAAAUUUCAUCUAAAGCUAAAUACUGGCCGGAGACCGAUAGCGCACAAGUAGAGUGAUCGAAAGAUGAAAAGCACUUUGAAAAGAGAGUUAAAAAGCACGUGAAAUUGUUGAAAGGGAAGCGCUUGCGACCAGACUCGCCUCCAGGGUUCAGCCGGCAUUCGUGCCGGUGUACUUCCCUGGGGGCGGGCCAGCGUCGGUUUGGGCGGCCGGUCAAAGGCUCCCGGAAUGUAGUGCCCUCCGGGGCACCUUAUAGCCGGGAGUGCAAUGCGGCCAGCCUGGACCGAGGAACGCGCUUCGGCACGGACGCUGGCAUAAUGGUCGUAAACGACCCGUCUUGAAACACGGACCAAGGAGUCUAACAUCUACGCGAGUGUUCGGGUGUCAAACCCGUACGCGCAGUGAAAGCGAACGGAGGUGGAGCCCCCUCGUGGGGCGCACCAUCGACCGAUCCUGAUGUCUUCGGAUGGAUUUGAGUAAGAGCGUAAAUGUGGGGACCCGAAAGAUGGUGAACUAUGCCUGAAUAGGGCGAAGCCAGAGGAAACUCUGGUGGAGGCUCGCAGCGGUUCUGACGUGCAAAUCGAUCGUCAAAUUUGGUAUAGGGGCGAAAGACUAAUCGAACCAUCUAGUAGCUGGUUCCUGCCGAAGUUUCCCUCAGGAUAGCAGUAACGCGAAUUCAGUUUUAUGAGGUAAAGCGAAUGAUUAGAGGCAUUGGGGUUGAACAACCUUAACCUAUUCUCAACUUUAAAUAUGUAAGAAGCCCUUGUUGCUUAGUUGAACGUGGGCAUUAGAAUGGAGCGUUAUUAGUGGGCCAUUUUGGUAAGCAGAACUGGCGAUGCGGGGAUGAACCGAACGCGAGGUUAAGGUGCCGGAAUGCACGCUCAUCAGACACCACAAAAGGUGUUAGUUCAUCUAGACAGCCCGACGGUGGCCAUGGAAGUCGGAAUCCGCUAAGGAGUGUGUACAACUCACGGCCGAAUGAACUAGCCCUGAAAAUGGAUGGCGCUCAAGCGUGUUACCCAUACCUCGCCGCCGGGGUAGAAACGAUGCCCGGCGAGUAGCAGGCGUGGAGGUCCGUGACGAGCCUUGGGAGUGAUCCCGGGUCGAACGGCCUCUAGUGCAGAUCUUGGUGGUAGUAGCAAAUACUCAAAUGAGAACUUUGAGGACUGAAGUGGGAAAGGUUCCAUGUGAACAGCAGUUGGACAUGGGUUAGUCGAUCCUAAGGCAUAGGGAAGUUCCGUUUGAAAGGCGCCCUCGUGCGCCGUGUGCCGAAAGGGAAGCCG
rnacentral:rRNA from 1 species